rnacentral:rRNA from 1 species
GGUACAAGGUAGCCGUAAGCUUGGAUCCCGGGACUUCUUUUUCCACCGGAGCUUGCUCCACCGGAUUAGAAGAGUGGCGAACGGGUGAGUAACACGUGGGUAACCUGCCCAUCAGAAGGGGAUAACACUUGGAAACAGGUGCUAAUACCGUAUAACAAUCGAAACCGCAUGGUUUUGAUUUGAAAGGCGCUUUCGGGUGUCGCUGAUGGAUGGACCCGCGGUGCAUUAGCUAGUUGGUGAGGUAACGGCUCACCAAGGCCACGAUGCAUAGCCGACCUGAGAGGGUGAUCGGCCACAUUGGGACUGAGACACGGCCCAAACUCCUACGGGAGGCAGCAGUAGGGAAUCUUCGGCAAUGGACGAAAGUCUGACCGAGCAACGCCGCGUGAGUGAAGAAGGUUUUCGGAUCGUAAAACUCUGUUGUUAGAGAAGAACAAGGAUGAGAGUAACUGUUCAUCCCUUGACGGUAUCUAACCAGAAAGCCACGGCUAACUACGUGCCAGCAGCCGCGGUAAUACGUAGGUGGCAAGCGUUGUCCGGAUUUAUUGGGCGUAAAGCGAGCGCAGGCGGUUUCUUAAGUCUGAUGUGAAAGCCCCCGGCUCAACCGGGGAGGGUCAUUGGAAACUGGGAGACUUGAGUGCAGAAGAGGAGAGUGGAAUUCCAUGUGUAGCGGUGAAAUGCGUAGAUAUAUGGAGGAACACCAGUGGCGAAGGCGGCUCUCUGGUCUGUAACUGACGCUGAGGCUCGAAAGCGUGGGGAGCAAACAGGAUUAGAUACCCUGGUAGUCCACGCCGUAAACGAUGAGUGCUAAGUGUUGGAGGGUUUCCGCCCUUCAGUGCUGCAGCUAACGCAUUAAGCACUCCGCCUGGGGAGUACGACCGCAAGGUUGAAACUCAAAGGAAUUGACGGGGGCCCGCACAAGCGGUGGAGCAUGUGGUUUAAUUCGAAGCAACGCGAAGAACCUUACCAGGUCUUGACAUCCUUUGACCACUCUAGAGAUAGAGCUUCCCCUUCGGGGGCAAAGUGACAGGUGGUGCAUGGUUGUCGUCAGCUCGUGUCGUGAGAUGUUGGGUUAAGUCCCGCAACGAGCGCAACCCUUAUUGUUAGUUGCCAUCAUUCAGUUGGGCACUCUAGCAAGACUGCCGGUGACAAACCGGAGGAAGGUGGGGAUGACGUCAAAUCAUCAUGCCCCUUAUGACCUGGGCUACACACGUGCUACAAUGGGAAGUACAACGAGUCGCGAAGUCGCGAGGCUAAGCUAAUCUCUUAAAGCUUCUCUCAGUUCGGAUUGUAGGCUGCAACUCGCCUACAUGAAGCCGGAAUCGCUAGUAAUCGCGGAUCAGCACGCCGCGGUGAAUACGUUCCCGGGCCUUGUACACACCGCCCGUCACACCACGAGAGUUUGUAACACCCGAAGUCGGUGAGGUAACCUCCGAAUUCGUCGACAACAGAGUUGAUC